rnacentral:rRNA from 1 species
CGGGCGAGGCGCCGGUCUAAGUCCCUUGGAACGGGGCGUCAGAGAGGGUGAGAAUCCCGUAUGUGACCGGUGAUCGAGCCUGUGUGAAACCCCUUCGACGAGUCGAGUUGUUUGGGAAUGCAGCUCAAAAUGGGUGGUAAAUUUCAUCUAAAGCUAAAUACCGGCCAGAGACCGAUAGCGCACAAGUAGAGUGAUCGAAAGAUGAAAAGCACUUUGGAAAGAGAGUCAAACAGUACGUGAAAUUGUUGAAAGGGAAGCGCUUGCAACCAGACCUGCCCGCGGGCGAUCAGCCGUCCUUCGGGGCGGUGCACUCGCCCGCGAUCAGGCCAGCAUCGGUUCGGGCGGUCGGAUAAAGGCCUUGGGAACGUGGCUCCCCUCGGGGAGUGUUAUAGCCCUCGGUGCCAUGCGGCCUGCCCGGACCGAGGACCGCGCUUCGGCUAGGAUGCUGGCGUAAUGGUUGUAAGCGGCCCGUCUUGAAACACGGACCAAGGAGUCGACCAACCAUGCGAGUGUUUGGGCGUCAAACCCACACGCGCAAUGAAAGUGAACGGAGGUGGGAACCUCUCGCGGGGCGCACCAUCGACCGAUCCAGAUGUCUUCGGAUGGAUUUGAGUACGAGCAUAGCUGGUCGGACCCGAAAGAUGGUGAACUAUGCCUGAAUAGGGUGAAGCCAGAGGAAACUCUGGUGGAGGCUCGCAGCGGUUCUGACGUGCAAAUCGAUCGUCAAAUUUGGGCAUAGGGGCGAAAGACUAAUCGAACCAUC